AGCAGCCGCGGUAAUUCCAGCUCCAAUAGCGUAUAUUGAAGUUGUUGCAGUUAAAAAGCUCGUAGUUGAAUUUCGGGGUUAGUAGGUUGGUCAUGCCUCUGGUAUGUACCGGUCUCACUGAUUCCUCCUUCCUGAUGAGCCGUAAUGCCAUUAAUUUGGUGUUGCGGGGAAUUUGGACUGUUACUUUGAAAAAAUUAGAGUGUUUAAAGCAGGCUCACGCUUGAAUACAUUAGCAUGGAAUAAUGAAAUAGGACGUUUGAUCCUAUUUUGUUGGCUUCUAGGAUUGACGUAAUGAUUAAUAGGGAUAGUUGGGGGCAUUAGUAUUCAAUUGUCAGAGGUGAAAUUCUUGGAUUUAUUGAAGACUAACUACUGCGAAAGCAUUUGCCAAGGAUGUUUUCAUUAAUCAAGAACGAAAGUUAGGGGAUCGAAGACGAUCAGAUACCGUCGUAGUCUUAACCAUAAACUAUGCCGACUAGGGAUCGGAUGGUGUUAAUUUUUUAAUGACUCAUUCGGCGUCCG
rnacentral:rRNA from 1 species